UCGAGAAUUUUUCUCAAUGGGGGAAACCCUGAAGGAGCGACGCCGCGUGGAGGAUGAAGGUCUUCGGGUUGUAAACUCCUGUCAUUUGGGAACAAGUUGGACGCCGUAACUGCGCGUCCAUUGAUAGUACCAGAAGAGGAAGAGACGGCUAACUCUGUGCCAGCAGCCGCGGUAAUACAGAGGUCUCAAGCGUUGUUCGGAUUCAUUGGGCGUAAAGGGUGUGUAGGUGGCGCGCUAAGUCGGGUGUGAAAUUUCGGAGCUUAACUCCGAAACUGCAUUCGAUACUGGCGUGCUUGAGGACUGGAGAGGAGACUGGAAUUCAUGGUGUAGCAGUGAAAUGCGUAGAGAUCAUGAGGAAGACCAGUGGCGAAGGCGGGUCUCUGGACAGUUCCUGACACUGAGACACGAAGGCCAGGGGAGCAAACGG
rnacentral:rRNA from 1 species